AGCCGAAACCGCGUCCGGCUCCAUCGGUCGGGCUGCGGUCCGCCGGAUUGGCAUUCCGGCGCUGACGAUGGCUGCCACAA
rnacentral:hammerhead_ribozyme from 1 species